UGAAUAGGAGUGGUGAGAGAGGGCAUCCUUGUCUAGUCCUGAUUUCCAAGGGGAACACUUCCAGCUUUUCCUUAUUCAGUAUGAUGUUGGCAGUAGGU